CGGAGCCACAGCCGAAGCGAGCCGGCAUCAAGAUGAACGUCGUGGUCGCUGCGAUCCGCUCUCGUCAGCCCCCGCGCUGCUCCCGCUCCCCCUCCCCUGGACGAGUAAGCGAUGAAGCCGGGAUUGGAAUCAGUACCUUGCGACAUACUGUUAAAUCUUAAGGCUAAGCGUGUUGGGAAUUAUUUUCCUCCACGGAUGCUGCUACGCGAAAUUGUGGUGUCCACCUACAUUACUUUGGAAACGCAAGUUUGCCUUUGCUGAGAACUACUUCAGGAAGGUGGUUAACUUCGAACGAGAGCAUAAUGUUCUUCAUGAAUUAUAUUUUCGGCGACUCAACUACCAUGCAAAAUGGAAUAGAGAGAUGGAAUCUAAAGGGAUACUAGUCUGCAACCUCUCGGACUAUGCCGAGUACCUCUUUCAGGGGCGUGAUGCUGUUAAUGGUAUUCUGACAGUUCUCAAGAUUUUCGGUGGAGUUCUUCUGGCCAUACUUGUCAGAAAAGCUUUAGGAGUUUGACAUAUACAGUAGAUAAUGAAACUGAUAUUCUCUGCUCCGCACGAAUUUACCUGUGAAAGGUAUACAAGUCUUGGGUUGUAGGCAUGAAAGGUAUGUGAAAGGCAUGAAAAGCUUUAGCUCUUGGGUUGUAGGCAUCCUUUCCUUUAAAGUUGGAAGAAGUCGAGCAUGUAAGUCUCCUGAGUUCCGAUGGUCUGGAAUAAUUUUUACAUUUUUUUAUCCUCUGCUUACUUGAUAAAAAGGUGCAAACUAGUCUUGAAUGCAUGUUGCAUAUAAAUACAUAAUACUUUUUAUGCAAAGAAUUAAAUAUUUGAGGGAGCAAAAUAUUGUUCCUUUUAUGUUGGGGCAUUAAUAUUUAUGAAAUUUAAAGUCUUUUUAAAUCUUGAGUGGGUUUUGUUUUUGUGCUUAUAAUUGUUUUGUUUUUAGCGAUUUAGCAUUAUUUAAAUAAUAGUCUUAUGUUACAUGAAGUGCAAUUUAUUUAAAAGGAAGAUCAUCUACUUUAUAUAGUUGCUCCAUGUUUAAGAAAUGCUGAAACUGAAUGAUGUACUUUGUGAAAGUAGGUCUUUGGUACACCCUAUAGGUGGAAACUCCAAUGCGGUACAAUUUAGUUCAGCUCUCGUUUCUUUCCUAACAACAAGUCACUAUUAUAUUGCUACCUAUAAUUUUUAUUUUGAUUUUUGCCUGUGCUGUCUCUUGUUCCAAGUUAUAGUUACAUGGAGCCAUAGUUUUUUAGUUAGUAACAUGGUACCAUAUAACCUUGUUCGACGUGUGAGCAGGCGGCGGCGGAGGAGAAAUUCAAGCCCUGCAGUGCAGCAUACAAGACAUUAUGUGAUGAUUUAGCUAUGGGCGAAUGUAGAUUUAGAUCAAGACAACAGAGUUGGUUCAUCAGUGUAUCAACGAGUACAAAAAGCUUUCCACAAUUCAUCAGUUCUUGUAAUAUAUGGAGCAUCAAAUUCAUAUCGAAGUGAUCCAAAGUGCAACCGUUAUAACUUUUCAGUUUCUCAUCAUCUUUCUGUCCAGGUUUGAGCAUUGUUUUCUCACAAGGCAUCGAACACCAUCCUGGGAAUGGGGGAGUAUAUAAAGGAUCUUCCAAACUUAUGAAAUGUAAAGUGUUUAUGUAGAUGGUUUUGGGGGUACUUGUACUCAGCAACUACUGAUUGAAACUAUUUUAUUUGGAGUAUUAAGUGUUUAUUAAGCCAAGUAACUUGGAUCAGGAAAUUGUAUUUAUGGCUAAAUCAUGGCUUGUGUCAUCUCUCUCGACCAAUGUCAACUUUGAACAUUGUUUUGGUCAUAC